GCCCUUGGUGGCUCAGAUGGAUAGAGCGUCUGCCAUGUAAGCAGGAGAUAUCCCGGGUUCGAGUCCCGGUCAGGGCA